ACACGUAGUCAACAUAACCAGAGGACGUGGAUAAACUCGGGAAACUGAGGCUAAACCGCGAUAGACCAAGAUGCCUGGAAUGGUUUUUGAUCAAAAUCUAUAUGGCCUUUGGACUGGACUGCGACCGAUCAGGCUGUUGGUGAGGUAAUGGCCCACCAAACCUGUAACCGGUACGGGCUCUGAGAGGAGGAGCCCGGAGAUGGGUACUGAGAAAAGGACCCAGGCCCUAUGGGGCGCAGCAGGCGCGAAACCUCUGCAAUAGGCGAAAGCCUGACAGGGUUACUCUGAGUGACUUUCGCUAAGAAAGUCUUUUGACACCUCUAAAAAUGGUGUAGAAUAAGGGGUGGGCAAGUCUGGUGUCAGCCGCCGCGGUAAUACCAGCACCCCGAGUUGUCGGGACGAUUAUUGGGCCUAAAGCAUCCGUAGCCGGUUUUACAAGUCCUCCGUUAAAUCCAACUACUUAACAGAUGGGCCGCGGAGGAUACUAUAAGACUAGGAGGCAGGAGAGGCAAGCGGUACUCAGUGGGUAGGGGUAAAAUCCGUUGAUCCGUUGAAGACCACCAGUGGCGAAGGCGGCUUGCCAGAAUGCGCUCGACGGUGAGGGAUGAAAGCUGGGGGAGCAAACCGGAUUAGAUA
rnacentral:rRNA from 1 species